CUGCUGGGAAGUGAGCUAGUGAAGCCUUCAGGCUCAUUCACUUCCUCCCAGGAGCCGUGUGUUUCCCGCUGGAGAUGAGAGGCCAGCUUUGGAGGACUUGAACUUGAUUUCUUUGAGGCGACUAGAGAUGAGGGUGUGGCCCCAUGUUCACGCAACAGCGUUGAGUGGCCAUCGGUUCCGCAGACACAGUAGGGCUGGCGCGAGCCUGGACAUGCCUUCUGAAAGAGCUGCUGCCGCCAGUCAGCCUGAGUCUGCCUCGAGCCCCAGCGCCCAGGAGCCCCCACUCUGGGAGGCAGUCUGUCCCCACCACACCCUCCGCCCUCCCCGACCACUGCAGUGGGAUGCCUGAUGCACACACUGCUUCCAGGGCACAAAUGCCUCGGAGGGGGCUGAAGGGGACGCCUAGCGUGAGAAGAUUGUCAAGACACCCCCAAUCAGGAAUGGAAAUCAUCUCAGUCUAUGAUGCUGAACUUUCAAAGAAAGGGAAGAAGAGCCUUUUGAGACUUUAACUGUUAA